CCCCUAUGUUCUAUUUUUAGCCAUGGCGGCCAUCUUGGAUGGUUGGCCGUGUCACCGGACACAUUUUUUAAACUAGAUACCCCAAUGAUGGUUGUGGCCAAGUUUGGUUUAAUUUGGCCCAGUAGUUUCAGAGGAGAAGAUUUUUGUAAAAGUUAACGACGACGACGGACGCCGGACGCCAAGUGAUGAGAAAAGCUCACUUGGCCUUU
rnacentral:lncRNA from 1 species